GACGAACCGUCCAAACGUUAUUCGGAAUCACUGGGCUUACAGAGUUCGUAGGCGGUCUGGAAAGUUGGGUGUGAAAUCCCUCGGCUCAACCGAGGAACUGCACUUGAAACUACCAGACUCGAGGGAGAUAGAGGAAAGCGGAACUGAUGGUGGAGCGGUGAAAUGCGUUGAUAUCAUCAGGAACACCGGUGGCGAAGGCGGCUUUCUGGGUCUUACCUGACGCUGAGGAACGAAAGCCAGGGGAGCGAACGGG
rnacentral:rRNA from 1 species